UGAGUACGAGACGCUAAGGCGUCGAAGUAGUGUAUGUCAUACUUCCAAGAAAAGCUUGCACUGUCAUUCAUAAAAAAUGCCUGUACCAUAACCGACACAGGUGGGUAGGUAGAGUAUACUAAGGGGCGCGAGAUAACUCUCUCUAAGGAACUCGGCAAAAUAACUCCGUAACUUCGGGAGAAGGAGUGCCUUAUUUAUAUAAGGUUGCAAUAACAAGAUCCAAGCAACUGUUUACCAAAAACACAGGUCUCCGCUAAGUCGUAAGACGAUGUAUGGGGGCUGACGCCUGCCCAGUGCCAGAAGGUUAAAGAAGUUGGUUAGCAAUAGCGAAGCUGAUAACUGAAGCCCUGGUGAACGGCGGCCGUAACGAUAACGGUCCUAAGGUAGCGAAAUUCCUUGUCGGGUAAGUUCCGACCCGCACGAAAGGCGUAAUGAUUUGGAUACUGUCUCGGAGAGGGACUCGGUGAAAUAGACUUGUCUGUGAAGAUGCGGACUACCUGCACCUGGACAGAAAGACCCUAUGAAGCUUUACUGUAACUUGAAAUUGAAAUUGGACUUUAUUCGCGCAGUAUAGGUGGGAGGCGUUGAAAAUAAUCUUGCGGGACUAUUGGAGCCAUCAGUGAGAUACCACUCUUAUAAUGUUAGAUUUCUAACUUUGAAUCAUUAUCUGGUCAAAGAACAGUUUCAGGCGGGCAGUUUGACUGGGGCGGUCGCCUCCCAAACGGUAACGGAGGCGUACAAAGGUUUCCUCUGAACGGGUAGAAAUCGUAUCUAGAGUAUAAAGGCAAAAGGAAGCUUGACUGUGAGACCUACAAGUCGAGCAGGGACGAAAGUCGGUCUUAGUGAUCUGACGGUACUGAGUGGAAAGGCCGUCACUCAACGGAUAAAAGUUACUCUAGGAUAACAGGCUGAUCUCCCCCAAGAGUUCACAUCGACGGGGAGGUUUGGCACCUCGAUGUCGGCUCAUCGCAUCCUGGGGCGGUAGUACGUCCCAAGGGUUGGGCUGUUCGCCCAUGAAAGCGGUACGCGAGCUGGGUUCAGAACGUCGUGAGACAGUUCGGUCCAUAUCCGGUGUAGGCGUUAGAAUAUUGAGAGGAGCCUUCUUUAGUACGAGAGGACCGAGAAGGACAUACCUCUGGUGUACCAGUUAUCGUGCCAACGGUAAACGCUGGGUAGCUAUGUAUGGAGUGGAUAACCGCUGAAAGCAUCUAAGUGGGGAGCCCACCUCAAGAUGAGUAUUC
rnacentral:rRNA from 1 species